rnacentral:miRNA from 1 species
GAUUAGUGUAGUCCUUUAACUCUGCGAAUGAAACAUGUUCAGUUCAUUAUCCAUUCAUUCGCAGAGUUAAAGGACUACACUAAUC